GGUGCAUUCUGGGGGCUGUUUGGCUUUUGGUUGUUUGUCUGGCCUUGGUGCUAGGCGGGUGGCUAUUAGUUGGGCGGUUUCGGGGAAUGUCGACCGUAAAGGUGCAUGAGUGGUGUUUGGUUUGUUACGGGUGGUUGGAUGUCUGCUUGCGCAGCAACGUCCACGCGUGCUUACCUCUUCAGUUUUGCGACAAGGCUUGUUUUGUCUUGAGCAAUUUGUGGGUUUCCUGUGUUGCAUACCUAACCGAUGGUAUCGUUUGGGUUGAUUGAUGUCCCUUUUCGUCAUGCGUUGCUCAUGCGGCGUGGGAUGAACCUCGAAAGCGGCCUUUGUGAUCCACGUUGUUCGUGCCCUUGCACGGANGAUGUGGCCCAUGUAGUGUCGCUUGGUUUCUUGUAUACGGAACCUGAAACGGGCAUGGGUCUUUCAAGAUCCUGCAUUUGCCCUCUUUAAGCGUUCUCGCUUCUCUAAAACGAUCGUCCGUCGUGUCUCGGCUUGUCCGGGCGUGGCGGGCUACGUCGAAGAGGAAUGCUACCUGGUUGAUCCUGCCAGUAGUCAUAUGCUUGUCUCAAGAUAAGCCA
rnacentral:misc_RNA from 1 species